rnacentral:tRNA from 1 species
AUUUAUAUAGUUUAAAUAAAACAUUACAUUUUCACUGUAAAAAUAAAGACUUUUUCUUUUAUAGAUU